UGCCUGUGAUGUGAGAUGAUAUUUGCUACUCUUGAUGGUGAUAACCAUCUGAUGAUCUUUAUCCACCAAGAUCUCUGAGGCU
rfam:Musa acuminata subsp. malaccensis Doubled-haploid Pahang (DH-Pahang) genomic chromosome, chr5